AGAUUGAACGCUGGCGGCAGGCCUAACACAUGCAAGUCGAGCGGUAGAGAGGUGCUUGCAUCUCUUGAGAGCGGCGGACGGGUGAGUAAUGCCUAGGAAUCUGCCUAGUGGUGGGGGAUAACGUUCGGAAACGGACGCUAAUACCGCAUACGUCCUACGGGAGAAAGCGGGGGACCUUCGGGCCUCGCGCCAUUAGAUGAGCCUAGGUCGGAUUAGCUAGUUGGUGAGGUAAUGGCUCACCAAGGCGACGAUCCGUAACCGGUCUGAGAGGAUGAUCAGUCACACUGGAACUGAGACACGGUCCAGACUCCUACGGGAGCAGCAGUGGGGAAUAUUGGACAAUGGCGAAAGCCUGAUCAGCCAUGCCGCGUGUGUGAAGAAGGUCUUCGGAUUGUAAAGCACUUUAAGUUGGAGAAGGUUGUAACCUAAUACGUUGCAACGUUUGACGUUACCGAUAGAAUUAAGCACCGGCUAACUUCGUAGCCAGCAGCCGCGGUAA
rnacentral:rRNA from 1 species